rnacentral:rRNA from 1 species
CCUACGGGAGGCAGCAGUGAGGAAUAUUGGGCAAUGGGGGCAACCCUGACCCAGCCAUGCCGCGUGAGUGAAGAAGGUCUUCGGAUUGUAAAGCUCUUUCGAACGUGACGAUGAUGACGGUAUCGUCUCAAGAAUCAACGGACAACUUCGUGCCAGCAGCCGCGGUACUACGAAGGGUGCGGGCGUUGUUCGGAAUUACUGGGCGUAAAGGGAGUGUAGGCGGAUAUGUAAGAUAGCGGUGAAAUGCCGGGGCUCAACCCCGGAACUGCCAUUAUGACUUUGUAUCUAGAGUAAUGGAGAGGAAAGCGGAAUACGUAGUGUAGAGGUGAAAUUCUUAGAUAUUGGGUAGAACACCGGUGGCGAAGGCGGCUAUCUGGCCAUUUACUGACGCUGAGGCUCGAAAGCAUGGGGAUCAAACAGGAUUAGAUACCCGGGUAGUC